UGAGGCCCUUUUACCAGGGUCCUGUCGGGGAGCCCACCAAGUACCGCCUGUCCCAGGAUGACCGUGAAGGCCUGCAGCAGCUCUACGGGAAAGGACCCCAGACCCCAUAUGAUAAGCCCACAAUGAAACCCCUGGCUCCUCCUCCCCCGCCCCCUGCCCUGCCCCCAGGCAGCCCCUCCCUUCCUGUCCCUGAUCGAUGUGAUGGCAAUUUUGAUGCUAUCGCCAACAUCCGUGGGGAAACCUUCUUCUUUAAAGG